rnacentral:rRNA from 1 species
UACGUAGGUCCCGAGCGUUGUCCGGAUUUAUUGGGCGUAAAGCGAGCGCAGGUGGUUUAUUAAGUCUGGUGUAAAAGGCAGUGGCUCUACCAUUGUAUGCAUUGGAAACUGGUAGACUUGAGUGCAGGAGAGGAGAGUGGAAUUCCAUGUGUAGCGGUGAAAUGCGUAGAUAUAUGGAGGAACACCGGUGGCGAAAGCGGCUCUCUGGCCUGUAACUGACACUGAGGCUCGAAAGCGUGGGGAGCAAACAGG